rnacentral:lncRNA from 12 species
AUGGAGACCUCAGAGCCUGCCACCUGCUCUGGCUGGCAAUUCUGGUUCUCCAGCAACCGGUUUCAGAAGAGCUCCUCCUCCUUGUGGAUGGUCAGUGGCUUCUGCUUAUCUGGAGAGCCCUGUCACAGAAGGAUCCAGCUCAUCACUGAGAUACAAUCUGGACCCUGCCUCCUAAUAAUAAGGGCAUCACUUUCCUGUGCAAAGGCUUCCUGCCAGUCCACCAGUUACCAAGAUAUCCCAGCUCCUCCUCCAAGCCAGUGUCAUGAAGAUGUGCUGGGAACUGAAGUAUUUGACUUUUUUCCAUUAAGGUGAUUUUGAGGAGAAGAACUGAAGGAAAUGAAUUCUCCAAAAUAAUUAUCUGUAAUCAGUUAUUGGAAGAGAGCAUGUUAAAGACGAACCUAGAGAAACAUUGGCUUGAAUGCCCCGUUCAAAUCCAGCAUAGCUUACUUUCGUGGGCAUGGAGACCUUAUUGAAUUGUAGUGUAGCAGAUUCUGUGAGCCGACAUACAGAGGUAAAUGAGCCACAUUGCUAAACAUUAGUUUUCUUGUUUACUCCAUGACUGUGGCGGUCCACAUGACUUGUUUACACAUGACUGUGGUUGUUCAUGUGUCUUGGUGAAGGAAAGCACGAUGCUCUCAUUACUUGCAAAGAGAUGAGUGUUGGGCAGAAGGGUGGAGUAUUCAGAAAGCUUUGGGGGUCCUUGUUUUCUUUAUGAUUUAUUUAUUUUAGAGAGAGAGAGAGACAGAGAGAGUGCAGGAGCGGGGAGGGGAGGUAGGGAGGAGGGUGAGAGGGGAAAUGACUCCUGGCUGAGCACUGGCUCCAUCUUAUAACCUGAGACCACUACCUGAGCCACAACCAAGAGUCUGAGGCUUAAUCGACUGUCACCCAGGCACCAAAAGGUGGGGGCUAAUUUUUAGAGACUUCUCACACUAGUGAACAUUGAUCUUACCUUUUUAUAGGAGACAGGACACAGUCACUGAGCCAUUGGGACAUCAAAAGAGUGACCAUGAAAGGAAAGGUUGGCUACAGAGCCUGACACAAAUAGAUCAUCUGUACAGACCCUCCUGCCUCUCCUCCCAUCCUUCCACACUCCUUAGCCUCCUCUAAGUGUAUCUCUCCUGGUUCUGUCUCCAAACUUACCUCUACAUAGGAGUAGAGAAGACAGUGGAGAAAUUUGGUUUGCAUACACAUUUCAUUUUAUGGUCAUUUUGUCCCAAUAUUCUGUACAACGAAGGGCCUCUGUAUGGUGUAGUAAUUUAAAGUGUGGGCUCUAGAGGCAGAUUGUCUAGGUUUCUAUUCCGGCUCAACUACU